rnacentral:rRNA from 1 species
GACGUAGGGGGCAAGCGUUGUUCGGAAUUAUUGGGCGUAAAGCGCUCGUAGGCGGGAUUGGAAGUCCGUGUUGAAAGACCUCGGCUCAACUGAGGGACCGGCUCGGAUACUCUAAUUCUUGAGGCAAUCAGAGGAUGAUGGAAUUCCCGGUGUAGCGGUGAAAUGCGCAGAUAUCGGGAAGAACACCCGUGGCGAAGGCGGCUCUCUGGGACGGUACUGACGCUGAGACGCGAAAGCGUGGGGAGCGAACAGG